rnacentral:rRNA from 1 species
UACGAAGGUCCCAAGCGUUGUUCGGAAUCACUGGGCGUAAAGGGAGCGUAGGCUGUGAGGUAAGUCGGGUGUGAAAUCCCGGGGCUCAACCCCGGAACUGCACUCGAUACUGCUUUACUAGAGGACUGGAGAGGAGAUUGGAAUUCUCGGUGUAGCAGUGAAAUGCGUAGAUAUCAAGAGGAACACCAGUGGCGAAGGCGAGUCCCUGGACAACACCUGACACUGAGGCACGAAAGCUAGGGGAGCAAACAGG